rnacentral:lncRNA from 1 species
AUUGUCAUGAGUGAUGCUCAUGAAUGUUUAUGUAUGAAUGACAUGAGUAAUGCUCAUGUAUAAUUUGGAGUACUAGACGUAAUUUUGAUCACCUGGUUGGUGGCAUGAAAGGGAGUACAGGUUGUACAUUUCAUCACCUGGUUGGUGGCCUGAAUGGCUAGUUGCCAAAUUAGAGUACGGGUUGUACAUCUCAUCACCUAGUUGGUGGCAUGAAUGGCUAGUUGUCAAAUGAUAUGAGAGUACGGGUUGUACAUUUCAUCACCUGGUUGGUGGUAAUAGCGGCGAGUUGUCGAAUAAUUUUGGAGUACUGGGCGUACUUUUGGUCACCUGGUUGGUGCUAAUAGCGGCGGGUUGCUGAAUAAUUGUGGAGUACUGGGCGUACUUUUAGUCACCUGGUUGGUGAUAAUAGAGGCAAGUUGCCGAAUAAUUUUUGGAGUACUGGGCAUGCUUUUGGUCACCUGGUGGGUGCUAUUUUGGGCUUAUGGGCCUUCGCCCUCCACGACAUGCUAGCCCAUUAAUUUUGGGCUUUGCCGUUUUUUUUUUUGUUUUUUUUAUUUUUUUUAUUUUU